rnacentral:rRNA from 1 species
UACGAAGGGUGCUAGCGUUGCUCGGAAUCACUGGGCGUAAAGGGUGCGUAGGCGGGUCUUUAAGUCAGGGGUGAAAUCCUGGAGCUCAACUCCGGAACUGCCUUUGAUACUGAAGAUCUUGAGUCCGGGAGAGGUGAGUGGAACUGCGAGUGUAGAGGUGAAAUUCGUAGAUAUUCGCAAGAACACCAGUGGCGAAGGCGGCUCACUGGCCCGGUACUGACGCUGAGGCACGAAAGCGUGGGGAGCAAACAGG